rnacentral:tRNA from 1 species
GCCCCCGUAGCUCAGGCGGAUAGAGCAAUGGAUUCCUAAUCCAUGUGCCGCGUGUUCGAGUCACGCCGGGGGCACCA